CCCUUAAGAUCGCCUUCCAUUAUGCUCCAUGGAAGCGUUUUGAGUCAUAGCUGCGCUAUAUUAAUUGUAUAUAUGCACACUCUUUUGUAUGUACAAUUGUAUAUAUGAAAGGUGUGUUAUAUGCUGGAGUUUUCUCUUUAGGGUUUUCCUUUAGUGAGUCUCCUUUUGCCUCGCCUUAUUUCAGGAGUCAUAUCCUUUUUUUUUGGUUUUGUCUUUCCCAAUUGGGGA
rnacentral:lncRNA from 1 species